CCUACGGGAGGCAGCAGUGAGGAAUAUUGGUCAAUGGGCGCGAGCCUGAACCAGCCAAGUAGCGUGAAGGAUGACUGCCCUACGGGUUGUAAACUUCUUUUAUAAAGGAAUAAAGUGAGGCACGUGUGCCUUUUUGUAUGUACUUUAUGAAUAAGGAUCGGCUAACUCCGUGCCAGCAGCCGCGGUAAUACGGAGGAUCCGAGCGUUAUCCGGAUUUAUUGGGUUUAAAGGGAGCGUAGAUGGGUUGUUAAGUAAGUUGUGAAAGUUUGCGGCUCAACCGUAAAUUUGCAUUUGAUACUGGAAGUCUUGAGUACAGUGGAGGCAGGAGGAAUUCGUGUUGGUGUG
rnacentral:rRNA from 1 species